AUUGAACGCUGGCGGCAGGCCUAACACAUGCAAGUCGAGCGAGCGGCGGACGGGUGAGUAAUGUAUGGGGACUGCCCGAUAGAGGGGGAUAACUACUGGAAACGGUAGUUAAUACCGCAUACUAUCGGAUAACCCAUAUGGGAUUAGCUGGUAGGUGAGGUAAUGGCUCACCUAGGCGACGAUCCCUAGAUGGUCUGAGCGGAUGAUCAGCCACACUGGGAAUGAGACACGGCCCAGACGCCUACGGGGGCAGCAGUGGGGAAUAUUGCACAAUGGGCGCAAGCCUGAUGCAGCCAUGCCGCGUGUAUGAAGAAGGCCUGAGGGUUGUAAAGUUCUUUCAGUCGGGAGGCGUUACCGACAGAAGAAGCACCGGCUAACUCCGUGCCAGCAGCCGCGGUAAUUC
rnacentral:rRNA from 1 species